rnacentral:rRNA from 1 species
UGGGGAAUAUUGGACAAUGGGCGAAAGCCUGAUCCAGCCAUGCCGCGUGUGUGAAGAAGGUCUUCGGAUUGUAAAGCACUUUAAGUUGGGAGGAAGGGCAGUAAAUUAAUACUUUGCUGUUUUGACGUUACCGACAGAAUAAGCACCGGCUAACUCUGUGCCAGCAGCCGCGGUAAUACAGAGGGUGCAAGCGUUAAUCGGAAUUACUGGGCGUAAAGCGCGCGUAGGUGGUUCGUUAAGUUGGAUGUGAAAUCCCCGGGCUCAACCUGGGAACUGCAUUCAAAACUGACGAGCUAGAGUAUGGUAGAGGGUGGUGGAAUUUCCUGUGUAGCGGUGAAAUGCGUAGAUAUAGGAAGGAACACCAGUGGCGAAGGCGACCACCUGGACUGAUACUGACACUGAGGUGCGAAAGCGUGGGGAGCAAAACAGGAUUAGA